GAACUUCCAAAGGUGUCACUCUUGGUUCAAAUUCCGUUCCAGUUACAUACAUAACAUUCGACUGAGAAACCAAUGAAUUGAUUUGAUUGGGCAGGCAUCCAGAUCGUUCAGGAGGAAAAACUGUCGGCCCUUCAGAGGUUUUAGAAUUCAAACAACUUGUUACCAAGUCAGCCACAGUGAUUAGCUCACCAGUUUGCUUAUUUUGAAGAGGCCCAGAUUCCUUGGAGUCAGAAGGAAGAGAUUCAGCCUCGGUAAUCACUGAGUUCAUGACAGGUGCCUCAGAAGGAAGAUAUUCAGUUCCUAUGGUCAAGUCAACAAUCUUUGACGGUGGUAGAGUUGAUGGAACUUCCAAAGGUGUCUCUCUUGGUUCAGAUUCAGUUUCAGNNNNNNNNNNNNNNNNNNNNUGAAUCAAUUUGAUUGGGCAGGCAUCCAGAUCCUUCAGGAGGAAAAACUGUAAGCCCAUCAGAGGUUUUAGAAUUCAAACCACUUGUUACCAAGUCAGCCACAGUGAUUAGCUCACCAGUUUGCUUAUUUUGAAGAGGCCCAGAUUCCCUGGAUUCAGAAGGAAGAGAUUCAGCCUCAAUGAUCACUGAGUUCAUGACAGGUGCCUCAGAAGGAAGAGACUCAGAUUCAGUUCCUAUGGUCAAGUCAACUGUCUUUGAAG
rnacentral:lncRNA from 1 species